rnacentral:rRNA from 1 species
CUGUGAGUGUUGAAGCUAACGCGCUAAAUACCACCGCCUGGGGAGUACCGGUCGCAAGGCUAAAACUCCAAAGGAAUUGACGGGGGCCCGCACAAGCAGCGGAGCGUGUGGUUUAAUUCGAGGCUACGCGAAGAACCUUACCUGGGUUGGAACACAUAGUGGACGAAGCCGAAAGGUGGAGGUACCCGCAAGGGACGCUAUGACAGGUGCUGCAUGGCUGUCGUCAGCUCGUGUCGUGAGAUGUUCGGUUAAGUCCGAAAACGAGCGCAACCCCUAAGUCUAGUUAUACGUGUCUAGACUGACUGCCCUCGGCAAGGGGGAGGAAGGUGGGGAUGACGUCAAGUCAGCAUGGCCUUUAUGUCCAGGGCUAACACACACGCUAACAAUGGCGCGUACAAUAGGUAGCGAAGAAGCGACUCGGAGACAAUCCAACAAAGCG